rnacentral:rRNA from 1 species
ACCGGCAAACGGGUGCGGAACACGUACGCAACCUUCCUUUAACUGGAGAAUAGCCCGGGGAAACCCGGAUUAAUACUCCGUAACAUUAUGAAGUGGCAUCACUUUAUAAUUAUAGCUCCGGCGGUUAAGGAUGGGCGUGCGUCUGAUUAGGUAGUUGGCGGGGUAACGGCCCACCAAGCCUACGAUCAGUAACUGGUGUGAGAGCACGACCAGACACACGGGCACUGAGACACGGGCCCGACUCCUACGGGAGGCAGCAGUAAGGAAUAUUGGUCAAUGGACGCAAGUCUGAACCAGCCAUGCCGCGUGGAGGAUGAAGGUCCUCUGGAUUGUAAACUUCUUUUAUUUGGGAAGAAACCCACGAUUUCUAUCGUGGUUGACGGUACCAGAUGAAUAAGCACCGGCUAACUCCGUGCCAGCAGCCGCGGUAAUACGGAGGGUGCAAGCGUUAUCCGGAUUCACUGGGUUUAAAGGGUGCGUAGGCGGGCAGGUAAGUCCGUGGUGAAAUCUCCAAGCUUAACUUGGAAACUGCCGUGGA